rfam:Rhizobium mesoamericanum STM3625 genomic scaffold, ANZ_1639
AGUCAAGAGUCUUUGACACCGAUUUGGUGAGCGGAUUUCUUUUGCCUGAAGAAAGGUAAGAGAGAAAUG